rnacentral:tRNA from 2 species
GGGAUCGUGGUCUAGCUUGGUAAGAUUCGUGCCUGGGGCGUACGAGUUCGUGAGUUCAAAUCUCACCGAUCCCACCA